rnacentral:rRNA from 1 species
GCCGAAAGAGAUUUCGGUGUGCCUUUGGGAACUCUGAGACAGGUGCUGCAUGGCUGUCGUCAGCUCGUGUUGUGAAAUGUUGGGUUAAGUCCCGCAACGAGCGCAACCCUUAUCCUUGUUUGCCAGCACAUAAAGGUGGGAACUCCAAGGAGACUGCCGGUGAUAAACUGGAGGAAGGUGGGGACGACGUCAAGUCAUCAUGGCCCUUACGAGUAGGGCUACACACGUGCUACAAUGGCAUAUACAGAGGGUUGCGAGACCGCGAGGUGAAGCGAAUCCCACAAAGUAUGUCGUAGUCCGGAUCGGAGUCUGCAACUCGACUCUGUGAAGUCGGAAUCGCUAGUAAUCGUGAAUCAGAAUGUCACGGUGAAUACGUUCUCGGGCCUUGUACACACCGCCCGUCACACCAUGGGAGUGGGUUGCACCAGAAGUGGAUAGCUUAACCUUUAGGGGAGGGCGUUUACCACGGUGUGGUUCAUGACUGGGGUGAAGUCGUAACAAGGUAGCCCUAGGGGAACCUGGGGCUGGAUCACCUCCUU